UUGGAGGGCAAGUCUGGUGCCAGCAGCCGCGGUAAUUCCAGCUCCAAUAGCGUAUAUUAAAGUUGUUGCAGUUAAAAAGCUCGUAGUUGAAUUUCGGGGUCAGUAGGUUGGUCAUGCCACUGGUAUGUACUGGCCUCACUGAUUCCUCCUUCCUGAUGAGCCGUAAUGCCAUUAAUUUGGUGUUGCGAGGAAUCUGGACUGUUACUUUGAAAAGAUUAGAGUGUUUAAAGCAGGCUAACGCUUGAAUACAUUAGCAUGGAAUAAUGAAAUAGGACGUUCGAUCUUAUUUUGUUGGUUUCUAAGAUUGACGUAAUGAUUAAUAGGGAUAGUUGGGGGCAUUAGUAUUCAAUUGUCAGAGGUGAAAUUCUUGGAUUUAUUGAAGACUAACUACUGCGAAAGCAUUUGCCAAGGAUGUUUUCAUUAAUCAAGAACGAAAGUUAGGGGAUCGAAGACGAUCAGAUACCGUCGUAGUCUUAACCAUAAACUAUGCCGACUAGGGAUCGGAUGAUGUUAAUUUUUUAAUGACUCAUUCGGCACCUUACGGGAAAC
rnacentral:rRNA from 1 species